CUUGCUUCGUUUUGGUAUGAUUCAAUGGACGCCUUGAUGCUUGGCUGAUUAAAAUUGUGUGAAACGCCAAUGAUAUAUUUGCAUCUGAAUUUCACAAGUUCUGUGCCCUUGAUUUGUUUCCUUCCAGCAUUAUAAAUUGGUAAUUGCCGAAGUAUUUCAUCGCAUUCGACUGUUAAGCUGUUGGGAUGUAUAACUGCUGCUGUAAAAUAUGCUUAACUGAACAUAAUUGAUUUGAAUCGGUUUUUAGUGAAUUCUCAUCUCUCUGUUGUUUGUGAGUAAGUAUUAAAGUGCGUUGUGAUUUCCUUUAGACUUUAUCUGCUUGAUUUUGUGCUAUUGGCUGAAGUUUGGAUUAUUAUGUUCAAAUCAAAUCCCGUGUUAGC
rnacentral:lncRNA from 1 species